AUGUCUGUGCGAAGGCCGCGGGGGGAAGAAGACGACGAGCAGGGCAGCGGAGGGGACGAUCAUCAGCAACGGCACGGCGCGAGGCGGAUACGGCCGGCCACCCCAGUCUCCUUCAGAUCCGUCGUCAGAAGAGCCGUCACAGCAGACACUAUCCAACAAAUUGUGUUUGGUUUGGAACCAGUUAUUCGUAGGGUGGUACGGGAGGAAAUUCAGAACAUCUUUUAUCAGCGUGAUCACUUACCAUACAGGUCUCUUCCUUCACCCAUCCAACAAGUCGAUGUUCCGCCUAGGUUGAAGCUUUCCUUUGCAAAGAAGCUCAUGCUACCGAUCUUCACCAACAACAAGCUAGUUGAUGCCGCAAAGAACGCCAUUGAAAUCUGGCUUAUAGAUACUAGAACCAACCAUCGUAUCACAGAAACAAACACUAACCAAGGCUCUUCAACAAUGAAGCUAGAGGUACUUGUCCUAGAUGGUGACUUCAGAUGUGAAGACGACAUGGUGUGGACAAAUGAUCAGUUCAACGCUGCAAUCAUGAAGGCCAGAGAGGGUAGGAGACCACUGCUUGUGGGUAGUACACUCAAUGUAGCAAUGAACAAUCAAGGAGUGGCUGUUAUAGAGGAUGUGGCUUUCACUGACAAUUCAAGUUGGAUAAGGAGUAGGAGGUUCCGAAUUGGUGUGCGCGUCAUGGCAACUAGCUAUUAUGGGCCAAGGAUUCAAGAGGCAUUGAGUGAAAGCUUCACAGUGAAAGAUCAUCGUGGCGAAUUGUACAAGAAGCAUUACCCUCCAAUCCUUUCCGACAAUAUAUGGAGGCUCAAAAACAUCGGAAAAGAUGGGCCAAUUGAUAAGAGACUGGAGUCCGAGGGGAUCAAGAAUGUCCAGGACUUCUUGAAACUUCACACGAUAGAUCCUGAUAAGCUAAAAAACCUCGUUGGCAUGUCAGAUCGGCAAUGGAGAACAACACUCAAUCAUGCAAAAACGUGUAGUAUGGGAGGGAAAUGUUAUGUUUUCAAAUCUGAAGGGUGUGAUGUUAUAUUCAGCCCCAUAGGAGAGAUUUUGGCAGCCAGAAUUGGAGACCAGACAUGCUCUUUGCAACAACUACACCAGGAACAUAAGGCCCAAGUGAACCAAUUGGCCUCCAUGGCAUAUGAGCAAUGGGAUCAAUUGGAGGAAGUGGUGGCAAAUGAGAUGACACUUGCUGCAUAUGAAGGUUUGACGUCAUUCCCUGAGGAAAAGCCUAGUUCGUCAUGCACACCGGCGAGUAAUGAAAGCAUGAUCAGCUCGGGGUCUCAAAAUGCCGAGUAUCUAGACAGGGUGGGUUCUAGAACAGCAACCUCUAGUGUUGCGAUGGUGACUAAUAGCAAUAACUCCUUAGAUUCUGCAUUGGCUAUUCCAACAAGUGAUGCUAUUUACUGGAUCCCAAGCUUAGCCGUUGAUGAUGACCGCUUCACCUGGAACAACUCUACAAACCUCGGUUGUUGGGAUCAAGUUGAUUAA
rnacentral:rRNA from 1 species